rnacentral:rRNA from 1 species
AUGAGCCCAAAGGAACAUGAUAUAUUGAAGGAGAAAGUGGAGGAAUUGUUGCAAAAGGGGCACAUUCGAGAAAGUAUUAGCCCAUGUGCUGUACUAGCCCUAUUCGCGCCAAAGAAAGAUGGAUCUUGGCGCAUGUGUACGGACAGCAGAGCCAUUAACAAGAUCACCGUAAGAUAUAGAUUCCCGAUUCCUUGUCUGGAUGAUAUGUUGGAUCAGCUUAGUGGAGCAAGAGUGUUCACAAAGCUAGAUUUAAGAAGCGGAUAUUAUCAAGUCCGUAUCAGACCCGGGGAUGAAUGGAAAACCGCCUUCAAGACAAAGGAAGGGUUGUUUGAAUGGCUAGUCAUGCCAUUUGGACUCUCAAAUGCACCAAGUACCUUUAUGUGCUUAAUGAAUCAAGUCCUUCGACUCUUCUUGUCCCACUUUGUUGUGGUCUAUUUUGAUGACAUCUUGAUCUAUAGCAAGGAUGAGGAUGAACACUUUGAUCACAUCCGGAAGGUGCUAGAAGUACUAAGGGAAAAUAAGCUCUACGUCAACUUGAAGAAAUGUGUUUUCCUGCAAAUACAACUUCUUUUCCUAGGAUUCGUCAUAACAUGUGACAGUAUUCGUGUUGAUGAUUCUAAGGUUGAAGUAAUCCGAGAAUGGCCAACUCCGAAGACCAUUUCUCAGGUAAGAAGUUUUCAUGGCCUUGCAACUUUCUAUAGGCGAUUUGUGAAUAAUUUCAGCACUAUCAUGGCACCAAUUAUCAAGUGUUUGAAGAAAGGAAAGUUCUAA